rnacentral:rRNA from 1 species
AAUCAACGCUGGCGGCGUGCCUAACACAUGCAAGUCGAGCGCGAAAGGGGGGGUAACUCCCCGAGUAGAGCGGCGAACGGGUGAGUAACGCGUGGGUGAUCUACCUUCGAGUGGGGAAUAACCCGGGAAACUGGGGCUAAUACCGCAUGACAUCCCGAGUCACAUCGGGAUCAAAGCCGGGGACCGCAAGGCCUGGCGCUUGAAGAGGAGCCCGCGUCCGAUUAGCUAGUUGGCGGGGUAACGGCCCACCAAAGGCGACGAUCGGUAGCCGGCCUGAGAGGGCGGACGGCCACACUGGGACUGAGACACGGCCCAGACUCCUACGGGAGGCAGCAGUGGGGAAUAUUGCGCAAUGGGCGUAAGCCUGACGCAGCGACGCCGCGUGGGGA